UCUGGUCUUGGGACACUGUCAGGUGGGCAGUUUGACUGGGGCGGUCGCCUCCCAAAAGGUAACGGAGGCGCUCAAAGGUUCUCUCAGUACGGUCGGAAAUCGUACGUAGAGUGUAAAGGCAAAAGAGAGCUUGAUUGCAAGACAUACAGGUCGAGCAAGGAUGAAAAUCGGACUUAGUGAUCCGGUGGUUCUGCGUGGAAGGGCCAUCGCUCAACGGAUAAAAGCUACCCUGGGGAUAACAGGCUUAUCUCCCCCAAGAGUCCACAUCGACGGGGAGGUUUGGCACCUCGAUGUCGGCUCAUCACAUCCUGGGGCUGUAGUAGGUCCCAAGGGUUGGGCUGUUCGCCCAUUAAAGUGGUACGCGAGCUGGGUUCAGAACGUCGUGGGACAGUUCGGUCCCUAUCCGUCGCAGGCGUAGGAAAUUUGAGAAGACCUGUCCUUAGUACGAGAGGACCGGGAUGGACGUACCUCUGGUGUACCAGUUGU
rnacentral:rRNA from 1 species